GCGGUGGUGGUGGAAUUGGUAGACACGCAAGGUUGAGGGCCUUGUGGGCAUUAGCCCGUGAGGGUUCAAGUCCCUCCCACCGCACCA
rnacentral:tRNA from 1 species